AGUGAACGCUGGCGGUAGGCCUAACACAUGCAAGUCGAACGGCAGCACAGUAAGAGCUUGCUCUUACGGGUGGCGAGUGGCGGACGGGUGAGGAAUACAUCGGAAUCUACUUUUUCGUGGGGGAUAACGUAGGGAAACUUACGCUAAUACCGCAUACGACCUACGGGUGAAAGCAGGGGAUCUUCGGACCUUGCGCGAUUGAAUGAGCCGAUGUCGGAUUAGCUAGUUGGCGGGGUAAAGGCCCACCAAGGCGACGAUCCGUAGCUGGUCUGAGAGGAUGAUCGGCCACACUGGAACUGAGACACGGUCCAGACUCCUACGGGAGACAGCAGUGGGGAAUAUUGGACAAUGGGCGCAAGCCUGAUCCAGCCAUACCGCGUGGGUGAAGAAGGCCUUCGGGUUGUAAAGCCCUUUUGUUGGGAAAGAAAAGCAGCAGGUUAAUACCCCGCUGUUCUGACGGUACCCAAAGAAUAAGCACCGGCUAACUUCGUG
rnacentral:rRNA from 1 species